rnacentral:sRNA from 1 species
CAGGCAUCUACCUGGCCCCUUCCCCCCAACUGCCAGGGCUUCUUGAGCUGCUGGCCCUGGGGCAUUGAGCCUCAGGACGCCCUCGGGCUCAAGGGGCCCUCCUGGUGCGCUCUUCUUCCCAGGGGAGCGGGACUACGGCCCCCCCAUUGACCUGUGGGGUGCUGGGUGCAUCAUGGCAGAGAUGUGGACCCGCAGCCCCAUCAUGCAGGGCAACACGGAGCAGCACCAACUCGCCCUCAUCAGUCAGCUCUGCGGCUCCAUCACUCCUGAGGUGUGGCCAAACGUGGACAACUAUGAGCUGUAUGAAAAGCUGGAGCUGGUCAAGGGCCAGAAGCGGAAGGUGAAGGACAGGCUGAAGGCCUAUGUGCGUGACCCAUACGCACUGGACCUCAUCGACAAGCUGCUGGUGCUGGACCCUGCCCAGCGCAUCGACAGCGAUGACGCCCUCAACCACGACU